CCUACGGGAGGCAGCAGUGGGGAAUAUUGGGCAAUGGACGCAAGCCUGACCCAGCAACGCCGCGUGAAGGAAGAAGGCUUUCGGGUUGUAAACUUCUUUUCUCGGGGACGAGGAGAGUAACGUUACCUGUGGAUUAGGCACCGCCUAACUACGUGCCAGCGGCCGCGGUAAUACGUAGGUGGCAAGCGUUAUCCGGAUUUAUUGGGUGUAAAGGGCGUGCAGGCGGGAGCGCAAGUCAGAUGUGAAAACUCAGGGCUCAACCCUGAGCCUGCAUUUGAAACUGUGUUUCUUGAGUUCUGGAGAGAUAAUCGGAAUUCCGUGUGUAGCGGUGAAAUGCGUAGAUAUAAGGAGGAACACCAGUGGCGAAGGCGGAUUGCUGGACAGUAACUGACGCUGAGGCGCGAAAGCGUGGGGAGCAAACAGGAUUAGAUACCCGAGUAGUC
rnacentral:rRNA from 1 species